rnacentral:rRNA from 1 species
GUAACGGCGAGUGAAGCGGCAACAGCUCAAAUUUGAAAUCUGGCGCAAGCCCGAGUUGUAAUUUGCAGAGGAUGCUUCUAGGCAGCGGCCGGUCUAAGUUCCUUGGAACAGGACGUCAUAGAGGGUGAGAAUCCCGUAUGUGACCGGUUGGCACCUUCCACGUAGCUCCUUCGACGAGUCGAGUUGUUUGGGAAUGCAGCUCUAAAUGGGAGGUAAAUUUCUUCUAAAGCUAAAUACCGGCCAGAGACCGAUAGCGCACAAGUAGAGUGAUCGAAAGAUGAAAAGCACUUUGGAAAGAGAGUUAAAAAGCACGUGAAAUUGUUGAAAGGGAAGCGCUUGCGACCAGACUUGUCGGCGGUGUUCCGCCGGUCUUCUGACCGGUCUACUCGCCGUCGGCAGGCCAGCAUCAUCUGGAGCCGCCGGAUAAAGGCGGAGGGAAUGUAGCUCCCCUCGGGGAGUGUUAUAGCCUUCCGUACAAUACGGCGCGCUUCGGGUGAGGUCCGCGUCUCGGCAAGGAUGCUGGCGUAAUGGUCGUAAGCGGCCCGUCUUGAAACACGGACCAAGGAGUCGAUUAUCUAUGCGAGUGUUCGGGCAUCAAACCCCUACGCGUAAUGAAAGUGAACGGAGGUGAGAACUACGGUGCAUCAUCGACCGAUCCGGAUGUCUUCGGAUGGAUUUGAGUAAGAGCAUAGCUAAUCGGACCCGAAAGAUGGUGAACUAUGCCUGAAUAGGGUGAAGCCAGAGGAAACUCUGGUGGAGGCUCGCAGCGGUUCUGACGUGCAAAUCGAUCGUCAAAUUUGGGUAUAGGGGCGAAAGACUAAUCGAACCAUCU